AGAGUUUGUUUCUGGCUCAGGAUGAACGCUGGCGGCAUGCCUAACACAUGCAAGUCGAACGGGGUUUAUAUAACGGAACUCUUCGGAGGGAAGAUAUAUAAACCUAGUGGCGGACGGGUGAGUAACGCGUGGGCAACCUGCCCUGUACCGGGGGACAACAGCCAGAAAUGGCUGCUAAUACCGCAUAAGCCUGCUGUGCCGCAUGGCACAGCAGGGAAAACCACGGUGGUACAGGAUGGGCCCGCGUCUGAUUAGUUAGUUGGCAGGGUAACGGCCUACCAAGACAACGAUCAGUAGCCGGCUUGAGAGAGUGGACGGCCACAUUGGGACUGAGACACGGCCCAGACUCCUGCGGGAGGCAGCAGUGGGGAAUAUUGCACAAUGGGGGGAACCCUGAUGCAGCAAUGCCGCGUGGGUGAAGAAGCACUCCGGUGCGUAAAGCCCUGUCAGCAGGGAAGAAAAUGACAGUACCUGACCAAGAAGCCCCGGCUAACUACGUGCCAGCAGCCGCGGUAAUACGUAGGGGGCAAGCGUUAUCCGGAUUUACUGGGUGUAAAGGGAGCGCAGGCGGCGUGGCAAGUCAGAUGUGAAAACCCGGGGCCCAACCCCGGGAGUGCAUUUGAAACUGCCAUGCUGGAGUGCCGGAGAGGUAAGUGGAAUUCCUAGUGUAGCGGUGAAAUGCGUAGAUAUUAGGAGGAACACCAGUGGCGGAGGCGGCUUACUGGACGGUAACUGACGCUGAGGCUCGAAAGCGUGGGGAGCAAACAGGAUUAGAUACCCUGGUAGUCCACGCCGUAAACGA
rnacentral:rRNA from 1 species